rnacentral:rRNA from 1 species
AGCAGCCGCGGUAAUUCCAGCUCCAAUAGCGUAUAUUAAAGUUGUUGCAGUUAAAAAGCUCGUAGUUGAAUUUCGGGGUCUAUCCGUUGGUCGGGCUUUUGGGUCCGUACUGGCGUUAUGGAUUCCUACCUUCUGAAUAACCGGUAUGCCAUUAAUUUGGUGUGCUGGGGAAGCAGGACUGUUACCUUGAAAAAAUUAGAGUGCUUAAAGCAGGCUAUCGCCUGAAUACAUUAGCAUGGAAUAAUGAAAUAGGACAGCAUGGUUCUAUUUUGUUGGUUUCUAGGAUCACCGUAAUGAUUAAUAGGGAUAGUUGGGGGCAUUAGUAUUCAAUUGUCAGAGGUGAAAUUCUUGGAUUUAUUGAAAGACUAACUUCUGCGAAAGCAUUUGCCAAGGAUGUUUUCAUUAAUCAAGAACGAAAGUUAGGGGAUCGAAGACGAUCAGAUACCGUCGUAGUCUUAACCAUAAACUAUGCCGACUAGGAUCGGACGAUGUU